rnacentral:rRNA from 1 species
GAUGAACGCUGGCGGCGUGCCUAAUACAUGCAAGUCGAGCGAACAGACGAGGAGCUUGCUCCUCUGACGUUAGCGGCGGACGGGUGAGUAACACGUGGAUAACCUACCUAUAAGACUGGGAUAACUUCGGGAAACCGGAGCUAAUACCGGAUAAUAUAUUGAACCGCAUGGUUCAAUAGUGAAAGACGGUUUUGCUGUCACUUAUAGAUGGAUCCGCGCCGCAUUAGCUAGUUGGUAAGGUAACGGCUUACCAAGGCAACGAUGCGUAGCCGACCUGAGAGGGUGAUCGGCCACACUGGAACUGAGACACGGUCAAGACGCCUACGGGAGGCAGCAGUAGGGAAUCUUCCGCAAUGGGCGAAAGCCUGACGGAGCAACGCCGCGUGAGUGAUGAAGGUCUUCGGAUCGUAAAACUCUGUUAUUAGGGAAGAACAAAUGUGUAAGUAACUAUGCACGUAUUGACGGUACCUAAUCAGAAAGCCACGGCUAACUACGUG